rnacentral:rRNA from 1 species
CCGACCUCAGAUCAGGCGAGACCACCCGCUGAGUUUAAGCAUAUCACUAAGCGGAGGAAAAGAAACUAACAAGGAUUCCCUUAGUAGCGGCGAGCGAACCGGGAAGAGCCCAGCUUGAAAAUCGCGCCGUUUCGGCGGCGCGAGUUGUAGUCUGGAGAAGCGUCCUCUGCAGCGGACCCGGCCCAAGUCCCCUGGAAAGGGGCGUCGGAGAGGGUGAGAACCCCGUCGGGCCGGGACCCUGCUGCUCCACGAGGCGCUGUCGACGAGUCGGGCUGUUUGGGAAUGCAGCCCUAAGUGGGAGGUAAAUUCCUUCCAAGGCUAAAUACGGGCGGGAGACCGAUAGCGAACAAGUACCGCGAGGAUUAGACAAAAAAGCC